rnacentral:hammerhead_ribozyme from 1 species
AAGCGAAACACAGGCAUAAGUGCCUGUGUCUACCAGUUGUAGUGAACUGGUACUGACGAGCAGCGAUGA